AGUUUUAUGUAUUUUUAAAACAAUUGGGUAGUUUCCUAGGUCAGACAAGAACAGAUCUAAAGGUGACAAAAAACGUUUUCUUUUUCUAUUUAACUUAUUUAUGAAAUUUAAUAAUGAAAAAUGUAAUAAAAAGUGCUACAUUUUGACACGUUUUUCUAUGAUGUCACAGGUUGCUUUUUCAUACAAAUUCCAUAGCAAGUCACUAGUAUAAUGACGUCAAAUCAAAAUGAUGUAGGUUGACUCAAUUCCAUCGCCCGUGAUUAGUUAGUAUUAAAACUAUAUAGAAACUAAUGAUACAAUGUCCAAGUACAAGACAACGAGGUUUUAUUGUAAAUGGUAACUGUUAUAUGCGACAAAUCUUGGUAUUACACCCCUAAGGCUGCCCGCCCACGUCAGCCAAUCGGCGACCGACUUUUUGUAGGAGAAAAAUAAAAUGUACUGGGGGGUUAAAAUUCAUCUAAGAAAGCAAUAUUGCUAUUUGACAUUUGUUUGCAUUGCGCACUUACUUUUACAUGCGCAUAUGUCAAAUUGCAAUAUUGCUUUCUUAGAUGAAUUGCUUCGAUGUGGCCAUCUUAACCCCCCUGCUCGCAAUAGUGCAACGCCCACGUCCUACAAAAAGUCGGUCAGAAAUAAAAUCGGUGCAUCCCGACCGAUACGAUUAUCGGUGAAAAAUGGAACGUUCGGAAAUGAGUCGGUCACAAAAUCGGGCAUAAGAAUCGCAGGAAAAAUCAGCCCGAUUAUCUGUCCUACAAAAAGUCUGACGUGGGCGGGCGCCCUUAGUUGUUACUUGCAGCCGAAGGGACGGGUACUCGACAGGCAUAACAUUUAUGGAACACACGUUAAUUUUAGGCAGAAAUUUAAAAAAAACUCCCAAAAUUUUAUAAUAACAUAACAUAAAUAGCCUGUAUGUGUCCCACUGCUGGGCACAGGCCUCCCCUCAAUCAACCGGAGGGGGUAUGGAGCAUACUCCACCACGCUGCUCCACUACGCAUUGUUCUGUGCUCAAUUUUAUAAUAUGGGCCAAUGAAAAAAUUAAAAAAAUAAGUCCUAAGAUGAAUAUGAUGAACCUUACGGUGGGUUCAGCCUACCGCCCAUAAUAAUUAUCCAUCAUGUUAAAAAGGACUCAAUCCCUCUGACGGACUUUUGAAAACUCACAUACUUUUACUAUCACAAAUUGGUACGUUGCCACAUUUUCCACACAUAAAAAUACUCAAAUGUAAUAAAAUCGGAAUAUAAAAUGUAGAUUAACGAUAACGCCAGAAGGCCAGAGUGACCAGGCACCUUCUGGGCGAGCUCGCUCCAUCUUAGGCCUCGUCAAUGUCUUCGGGCAAGUCUGGGGCCAAGAGUCAACCCGUCAAAAGUAAAAAAAAAUGGAACUCUGGGCAACAUUGAAGCAAUUCAUCUAAAAAAGCAAUAUUGCUAUUUCACAGGUUAGAUACUGCGCACUUUAUAUUGUCAAAUUGCAAUAUUGCUUUUUAGAAGAAAUGUUUCAAUGUGGCCUUUUUGGACUGAUGUUCUAAAUUUAAAUGUUUGUAAGUAAUAUAUACAUUAGACUAUAAAAUGUAUGCAUUGUUGCGUCCUUUUCAGAUUCAUAUUUUAGUCGUCCAUAUCAAGAAAUCAAAUUGGAAUUAAUCUUAUUUCUUUUUCAAGUUCAUCUUCAAUGUGAGGAUUUCUUUUUCUAUUAAUCUCAAGCGUAUUCUUCCAUUUUUUAUUAGCCAGACGUGUACCCGAUGGAGUUCAAAAUUGAGAUUAGAUUAAUAAUUUAAUAUUAAUUUGAGAAACACAAUCGUGCCGAUUCCAGCGGACGAAGAUAACUACAAUAUCUGUGGCAGCUCUAAAACGUGUCGUCCAUCACUAAUUCUUAAUGCUAGAAAGAGAUAGCGCUAGUUUUAGACCUGUCAAAUUAAAAUUAUAUUUUGGCCGCUGGAAUAGGCAUCGAAGUGUCAUAGUUCGUAAAUUGACCUACCGCACAAGAAUCUAUUUAUUGUAUCCUAUAAAACGUAACAUUAUUAGAAUGGCAACAGCACAGAGAGUAUGUCAUUCUAAUCAUCCUUCGCGGCAUGGCUAGACGCAGCGAUUGCUAUCUGCGUAGACAGACGUAGGGCUAUUGUUCGAAGCCCUCGAUAUAAUUCCGUUUACUGCGGGGUCUGCAUGACAUCUGCGCGCGGCGCGAAGUAUUACGAGCAUUUGGGCCAAUAAACGAUACGAAUGCUAUCUACGUAAAUGGACGUCAAACGGCUAUUGGUCGAAGCGCUCAGUAUACUUCGCGCCGCGCGCGGUGCAGUUGUCAUGCAGACCCAGCUGGUUACGCUAUACACGGUAUAAAUAUAGCUUGACUGGAAUGAUAGCUGUCGUAACAGUACAAUUUUUGCUCUGUAUUUCUGUCCUGCUGUCAUUUUAAUCAAGCUAUAUGUAAUGCGGUGUACGCAUGUUAUUGUGUUCUUCCCGACUAAUCUAAUCAUUGUGUAGCUUAUUAAGUAUAAUUUCGCUUUUGUAGUAUUUAGUUUUGUAUUUGGGGCUCUGUUACACGUAAUAAUUGACUAACGAAUGUCACCGGUGAAAGGGAUUGGCCUAAGUGAUGGUGAUAGUGAGGUAUGAAUAUGUUUAAAUAAUGGUAUAAGAAAACCAGGUAUGCUCAAUCCUAUGACAAGCCGCCAUUGCUAGCCCAUUGAUGACGUAAGUGUUACCAUUAAAGUGGUAUCUCCAACAUUCCAAGGACGUAAAUUUUAUUAUUGAAAAUUAAGUGAAUUAUUGACUAAUGUAAGUAUUUAAUUACUAUUAUUUGUCACAUAUAUAAAAAUCAUUAAAACUAUACGUAAAUAUUUUAUUAAAAGUAGAAAAUUUCCUUGCAAAGUAAAUUAAAAACAUUGAACGUGGGGGUAAUUUUUUUUUACGAAAUGGCAACGCUGGUUGGGAUGACGUCAGUUUUGAGCAUACCUGGAUUUGUUAUACAUGGUUUAAAUAAAGUUUGAUUAUAGAACAAUACAUUUUCCUUAUAUAGCACAUGAUAUCCGAUAUUAAUACAACUCAAAAUAACGCAGAUUCGAAAAAUAUAUCUGUCUCUCGAAUCAAAUAAUUAUUAUAUUACGUAAGCUAUAUGUCACAGAGUACAGUGUCUAUCGCAGUUGCUUGGCCAGUGCAUUUCGUUAGUAUGUAAUUUAAACUUGCCUAACAUAUUAACACGUAAGCAACCCCAAAAUUAGUAAGACUGGGUUUACUACUUUUAUAAUAAUUGGCUUUAUUUUUUUACAAAAUUCCCUAGUGUAAUUUUAUGUUUAUAUUUUAAUAUUAAUGCUAUCUGUCUAAGUGCUAUGUUGAAAUGAAAGCAAUGAAAUUAGCGUUACGACUUUGCUGUAAACUUCACUUUGUAAGUUAGGUAAUGUUUAUUAAAAUUUAUAUUAAGGAUGGUUCCGAUUUUAGAGAUACGCGUAUCUGUUAGGCAUUUAAAAUUGUGCCAUAGUUGAAAAAUGACGUCUCCUAACCAAAGUAAGUAAUAUGGUGUUGAACAUAUCUGUAUGUACGGAUGUUGGUAUGAGCAGGGUGGAGCAAAUUAAGCAUUACACUUCACUUGCGCAGUGGUGCGAUUGGUCAACUGGGGCCUUAGACAAGUUGCUUAUAACAAUCAACAGUGACAGUGAUAACAUGUAUGAGAUUGACAUCAUUGACAUAAAGCGACAGUAAUAAAAAUGUAUGAGAUUGACAUAAGGUGACAGUUAUAAAAAUGUAUGAGAUUGACAUAAGGUGACAGUUAUAAAAAUGUAUGAGAUUGACAUAAGGUGACAGUUAUAAAAAUGUAUGACAAUGACAUAAGGUGACAUUUCGAUUGUUAUAGUCGUUUUCAACUUGGCUAAAGCCCCUAGUUUCCGUCCGGUAAUUUAUAGUGACGCUUCUGACGCAUCUAAUGGGGUGGUCAGAACUACAGGUAAUCACAGGACAACUUGCGUUCACUUUUGAUUCGAAGUCCAGAUGUGGCUAUGAUGAACCGUACCAGUGCACGUUCCACGAUGUUUGUUUAUCCCAUCACUGUCAUCCAUCGCUCAAUACUUGUAUCCGUGCCUGUAUAUGUGUCUGUUGCACAAUAAAUUGUGACUUCAGUGUGUUAUUGGGUAGUUCUUGGAACACCAAAAAUAUUCUAGAACCUUUUGUCUUGAUGCAAAUAUCUACUAUGUAACCUGGGUGCCUUCAAGGCCCACAUAUUGAAAACUCACAUACUUUCCUAUCACAAAUUGGUACGUUACCACAUUUUCAUAUACACAUAAAAGUACUCAAAUGUAUUAAAAUCGGAAUAUAAAAUGUAAUGUAAAAACGCCGGAAGGCCAGAGUGAACAGGCACCUUCUGGGCGAGAUAGCUCCGGCUUAGGCCUCGUCAAUGCCAUCAGGCAAGUCUGGGGCCAAGAGCUAAACCAUCAAAGGUAAAAAAAAAUCUACUAUACGUAAGUGCUAGCUGGAUAUUUACAAAGACCAAAGUUUCUAGGAAAUGUUAUUGGUAAUGAGAUCACCCACCAGUGUUCGAAGAUCUAACCUAUUGACAUUGUCAAGCGUAGUUGUGUUUUGAAGUUGAAUGUUCUCUUAUAUCUUGGUUGUCUGUUGCGAGUUGAAAUCUGUUAUCUGCUUAUUGUGCAAUACAGAAUUAAGUUAAAUAGCUGUUCUCUCAAAUUGUUCGAAAAAGGUAAAUAAUGAGGCCGAUUCGAGCGACGAUCAACGACCAACUUGAUUUGACAGGACUAACUAGCUCAUCUCUUUCUUGUGCACCUUGUAAGUGAAGGACAGCACUAGUUUGAGCUGUCCAACUAUUAGGUUACGUUUUAGUGCGCCAUUGGUGCUGAUUCUGGUUGGUUGAUUGGGUGUUGAUUUCGGUUUGAGAGCUCUUAAAUUAAUACCGUCCUUCACUUACAAUUAGUGGAAGAAAGAGAUAGAGCUAAUUUUAUUCAUGUCAAAUGAAGUAAAAAUUAAGUUGGUUAUAUCAUUUUCUACUAUGAACAUUUUCCGUAUAUAAAUUAUACUAUAAACAUAGUAUAAGGUCAAUUCACUAUAGCAUGACUUUUAAAGAAGAUUGCGAUACGACGUUCAACAAAAAAGUAGUGCUUCCAUAACAAGCAAUCCACAAAUUAAAAAGCCAUGAAUUCUGCUCUUUUGUCUUUGAUUCCUGAUUCGGAUGACAGUAUAUCUUAUAGCUUGUUUGAUAAGUAUUCGAACUCUAGUUUUAUAAAAUGACAAAUUAAUAUAUUCUAUAAAGUUAAAUCUCUCUUCUAUCGUGUGUGUUGUAAGGUGGAUGACCAGCCUUAGCAAAACCCAGCACACCUAAGAAUCUGCAACCUUAUAAAGUUCAAUGAAAUUGAUUUUAUUUCUAGCUUUGGCUGAAGUAUGCAUUUACUAUUGUAUCGAGUUGGAGCAAUAUUUUAAGAGUAUUUCAUUAGUUCCAAUUCUAAUACAUUCGUGCCAGAACUCUAUGCGUCUUUAGGCGUACUUUACUAUUCAGGUUCAAUCCUAACCACCUUACAAAUAAAAAAAUAACCAGGGAUGAACGGGGGUUUAAGUAUUUGACAGCCAAGCAAAAUUAAAUCCAAUUAUCAUACAAUUCGACCUUUGCUUGGCUGUCAAAUACCCACGUUCAUUCCUGGUUUAUUUUUUAUUCGUAAGGUGGUUUGGGUUGAACACAUUUUAGCGUGUGAGAGAGCGCAGCAGCACUAUACACACCGCCGCCUGCAUUAACAUUUAUCUCGCUCUAGCAAAUUACGGUUCUGAAUGACAGAAAAGGAUAAAAGAUGCGGUGCGGCCAGAUAUAGUUCAACCUAUAAACGGUUCUUACUCAGUUUUAUUUUACUAUGAUAUUCAUCAUAUUCAGUGUUGUUCGAACGGGCUUUCGCAGUAUUUCUUUAAAAGCUAUGAAACUGAACCGUCAUUCACAGUUGCACUCUAGACUGCAGAGUAUAUCAAUGAAACAUUGUGAUUUAUCAUAAAAUGAAAUAUCAAGUCGAUCAUAGCGGGUGGACCCCCGGCGCAUAUCACCACACAUAGACUAAGGGAUGUUGCCAAAUGUAAAUAAUGUUAGCAUAAAUUAGGCUUAGUUUUUUUGGUCUGAAUGUCAAGAGUUUUAGCUUGUGGACACGCAUAUGAGAGACACAGAACAAAUGUACCUAUAUUAUAAUUAUAACCUUCAAAAUAGGUUGUGAAGGAAUUGAGAGUAAAUAAAGUGGAAAACACAACCAUAUAUUUUUUUUCUUAAUAAAUCAAUAACAUAUUUUUUUAAUAAGUACUUCUAGUGGAUUUAUAGUGUUUAUGGUUGCGUGUCCACAAUUUUAGACUAAUUUAUUGUUAAAGUGAAGUGAUGUAGCUGAUUGGCAGUAGCGGUGUUGUAAUGUAGCUAUAAUACUUAUAUUUUAAUUAUUUUUACCUUUACCGACAUUCUCGUGUGUGACUCCGCCGGUGAUGUUAUUAUCAUUAAUUUUUAUUAACAACAUAAAUGUCCGUUGAUAUUUAAUGUAUUAAAAUAUAUUUUCUAGACAAA